GGAAGCGAGUUGUUAUCUUUGGUUAUCUAGCUGUAUGAGUAUUUUGCACUUCAUAAAGCUAGAUAACCGAAAGUAAAAACUGCCUCC
ensembl:miRNA mir9-5 microRNA 9-5